rnacentral:rRNA from 1 species
UUCACCUGUUUAUCAAAAACAUCUCUUUAUGAUUAAAUAUAAGGUUUAACCUGCCCACUGAAUUUUUAAAUGGCUGCAGUAUAUUGACUGUACAAAGGUAGCAUAAUCAUUAGUUUUUUAAUUGAAAACUGGAAUGAAUGGUUGGAUGAAAUAUAAACUGUUUCAAUAAAGAUUUAUUAGAAUUUUAUUUUUUAGUAAAAAAGCUAAAAUAAAUUUAAAAGACGAGAAGACCCUAUAAAUCUUUAUAUAAAAUGUAAAUAUUAAUUAUUUUAGAAGAUUUUAAAGUAUUUAUAUUUUAUAUUUUAUUGGGGAGAUAGUAAAAUUUAAUAAACUUUUAUAUAAAAUAAUUCAUUAAUUUAUGAAUUUUUGAUUAAUUAUUAAUGAAUAAUAAAAUAAGUUACUUUAGGGAUAACAGCGUAAUUAUUUUGGAGAGUUCAUAUUGAUAAAAUAGAUUGCGAC